CUUUUUUUAAAGAAAUGGAACAUCUUAAUUUCAGAUAAAGUUUUAUAUGCAUAAGGACUUAUCACUAUUAAUGUAGAUCCUCAAAAUUAAAAAAAUGAAAUAAUCCAUAGUUUUUUAAAAAAAGGAAAAGUGAUUGAAUGUAAAUAAGCCAAAAUAACAAAAAUAAUUAAAAUCACCCAUCAUUCUACUGAUGCAGGGCAAGUAAGCCCCCAAAUUGGGGCUUAGCCCAGGAGGAUUCUUGGCUUCACCCAGGAAAGAAUUCAAGGGUAAGCUGGUGGGGUUAGGCAGCAACUUUUAUUGAAGCAGCAGCAGAGGUGUUAUUCCUUGCAAAGCAGGGAUACCCCAUAAACAGUGUACCCAGAGCAGUGGCUCAGAGGCAGUUCUGCAGUCAUAUUUAUACUCACUUUUAAUUAUGUACAAAUUAAGGGACAGGUUAUGCAGAAAUUUCUAAAAAUAGGGUGGUAACUUCUGGACCAUCAGGUUAUUGCCAUGGAAAGGGAUGGCAACUUCCAGGUGUUGCCAUGGCAAUGGUAAACUGACAUGGACCGAGUGGGCAUAUCUUAUGGGGAGGUGCUUUUGCUUCUUCCCUGUUUGAGCUACUCUUCAAUCUGGUCUAGAGCCUGAGUUCUGCCUUCUACCUCACUACCACCCAGAUUUUGUAUAAGGUUUAUAAUGGCUUUGAAUUCAGCAAAAGGCUAAAUCUACCAUUAACCAAGUGAAGAGACAUUCAUUUAGCUCCUUAUUUAUUCAUUUAUUUAUUAACUAAAACAGUGCUACAGACUGAGUUAAAAAGACAAAUGAGACUUGGAACCUAGUCUAAAUUAAGAGAAAUCAUGUCAAUAAUUAAUUACAAUAUACAUACUAUAGUGUUGUAAUAGUAACAGUUGAGGAAUAUUUAAACGAGAGUAGUGGCCCAGAUGACUUAGUAACUAACUCAGUUAGAGGCAGUGAAAGUAAAAUUUAAGGAAACUUAAGCUAGAUCUUGAGGAAUGAAUUCAACCGUAUCAGACAGACCUAGGGAGAAGAAAGAGGAAAAGCACUAACUCUGGUACUAAGGUCUGGAUUUAAAUUGUAGGCUCUACCUGACACCUGUUAUCUAAAUGAUCUGCAAGUUACUCAAUUACUCUGUGCUUCAGGUUCCUCCUUUCUAAAAAAUAAGGAUAAUAUUUACUUCAAAUAGUAGCUUGGGGUUUACAUGAAUUCAUCUACCUAAAGUACUUAGAACAGCAUUAGCUACUGUUAUAGACAUGUGAAACAUCAGGACACAUUUCAGAAACUGUAAUUAUUUGGGCCCUUGAGUACAGAGAGAGCUGGGGAUUUGUAGAAAAUGAGGCUAGAGGAUAAGUAUGGGUCAGAUAAUGAACAAGCUUAAUUACUUGCAAUGAUAAGGAGUUCGGACUUUAUCCUCAAGGCAAAGGAGAGCCAACUGAAAUCUAUAAAACAGAGGGGUAAUGUAAUACAAUUUUUGUAUAAGCAAAAUAACUCUGGUGAUAAUGGGGAGAAGAGAAUGGAUCUUAGAAAGAGACUGGAGGUGGGGAAAAUAGUUCAGAAACAAAUCACUACCACAGUCAUGCAUUGUCAGCAGUUAUGGAAGUUCCCUUUGCAUUUUCCACAUUUUUAAUGAAAAGCUGAAAAAAAAAAAAGCUCAAAUUGACGUUACCCUAAAAAAGGAAAGAAAGAAAGAAAGAAAAAGGCAAACAACAUAAGAAAACAACUCAUUAAUGCCAUUUUCAUUCUUCCUUUUCUAUAAAACACUCCACGUAUCUCCAAAGCUCUAUUUGCAUCCCACCUCCUUGAGGUCUCCUCUAAGGAUUCCAGGCCUAGGGCCAGGGCUAUGCUUCAUUCACAUCUCCAGAGAACUAAGCAGAGCUGUAGAUCUAAAUAUAUUUAGAAACUGACAAAUAGUUUUUGAUUAAUUAACAUCAAGAGAGGUGUUUAGGACAAAUUUCACUGAAACGAGAAUGGUGUGCCCUCUGGAAAGGAGGAAAAAAACCUAGCAUUUUAAUGAAAUAAGAUGACCAGCUUUACUAGAAUCAAAAUCUAGAAUACCUACGAGCAUAAUUUAACUAUGAAAGAAAAAAUUGCCUAUGUAUAAUUUCUUUCUCUCAUUCAGGGGCACGCAAAACAGCACUUGUGUUUUGAUUUGUUUUAGCUUUUCAAUUUUGUAUGUUUGUACAGUUGUCAGUAAACCUCAUUUAAUUAUUAUUUUACAAUAUUUAUUGGAAUAAAUUAAAGAUAUUUUACUACACACUGGUACUUUCUACUCAGAUGAUAUUUAUAGGAAAGGUAAUCAGUAUUUUUCUAACUCAUUUCUACUGCAACAAUUGGCAGAGAUUAGAGCCAUUCAUACAUAAAAUAUACGUAAUUUUUUCUCUUAAAAUAUGAAAUAUCCUUCUUGAACCUAAUAAACGUUGAUUCACGUUCUCCAGUAUUUUUAAACCUAAAGAACACUUUUUAGUCUAUAUUAAAAAAUAGCUCCACACUUUCUCUAGAGGAAAUUCUACUCCGGGGAAAUGUAGAAAUGAAAAUCUCGGGUGAGUAGCAAGGGCUGGGAAUAACUGAAUGGCGAUAUGUCUCUGAAUUAGAAGUUGUAAUAAACCAGCUGCUUGAUCUGGUACAGGGCUUUUCAUGCUAAGGCUGGGUAGUGGAAAAUGUUAAGGAGAAAUUUUCCAUUCAUCUCGCAUACUUCACUGCUUAGAAAUAUGAACCACCUGUAACAGGAGCCCCAGGGGAUUAACAAAAGUCGUGCAGAUUACCCGUUAAUGGCUCAGACCCCCUUCUGUUUGAAAUUCAGCCCUUUUUUUCUCUCUGAACAUUUCAUGAUCUCCUCCACUAAUUAUCUGGAAUUCGUUUGUAAUAAAUGCCUUAUGUUUCCCCUACUGAGGCAUGCUUGUUCACUAACAUUUCACUUUCUCUGUGUGAUGUGAGUACCACAAUAGAAUUCCAAAUGAAGAAAAGAUAAACUUU
rnacentral:lncRNA from 10 species